UGAUAUUGAGAAUGAGUUUGGCAAAUACUGCACUUUGCCAGGUAGAAACAGUGAUGUUUCGCGGCAACUAAGGGCCCAGAGGCCUUGCUCUUACUCAGGCUAUCCAGCACACGUCAGCAGCCCCCAUGGGGGAGGGUCACCGAAGAGAGGAAUCAGCUCAAAAACCCCUCCCCCUGUUCCAGUAAGGAGGACCUCCGCUGCCACGAACAACAGGUCCUACCUUGUUGGCAAGGUGCCAGCUACCUACCUGCGCUCGCACAACCUCCACGGCGGCGACCAGCGAAGCAGCUCCAGCGAAG